ACGUCAAGUCCUCAUGGCCCUUAUGGGCUGGGCUACACACGUGCUACAAUGGUGGUGACAGUGGGCUGCGAAGGGGCGACCUGGAGCCAAUCCCCAAAAGCCAUCUCAGUUCGGAUUGUACUCUGCAACUCGAGUGCAUGAAGGCGGAAUCGCUAGUAAUCGCGGAUCAGCAUGCCGCGGUGAAUACGUUCCCGGGCCUU
rnacentral:rRNA from 1 species